AUGAUGCCCCAAUUCAAAGACGACAAACGGACAAAACUGAAAAAAUAUUUGGAAAGAGAAAGUAACCAUGACCAAGCAGACUUUUUCUUAUAUUACCUAAAAGAGUGUAUUUCCCCAAAAGAAAUAUCUCAGGCCAGACAGGGCUGUUGUGAACAGCCAAUGUUAUCAGUAACCGUUGGUGAAAGUAUUGUGCUAUACUCACUGCUUAAGUUUAGCAUCUACUUUAUCACAGAAAAGUUCCAGACCGAAAGGGUAACUUGCUUGAAAGUCAUACCUAAAGAACAAAAUGGAAUAUGCGCAAACAAUUCCAUGGUGUAUCCAUAA
rnacentral:rRNA from 1 species